rnacentral:misc_RNA from 1 species
GAUGAAGAACGUAGCGAAAUGCGAUAAGUAAUGUGAAUUGCAGAAUUCAGUGAAUCAUCGAAUCUUUGAACGCACAUUGCGCCCCUUGGUAUUCCGAGGGGCAUGCCUGUUCGAGCGUCAUUAUAACCCCUCAAGCUCAGCUUGGUGUUGGGGCCUGCUGCACUGGCAGCCCUUAAAAUCAGUGGCGGCGCCAUCUGGCUGUAAGCGUAGUAAUUCUUCUCGCUAUGGAGUCCUGGUGGAUGCUUGCCAUCAACCCCCAAUUUUUCUAUGGUUGACCUCGGAUCAGGUAGGGAUACCCGCUGAACUUAAGCAUAUCAAUAAGCGGAGGA